rnacentral:lncRNA from 1 species
CUCAUCACUCCCACCGCACCGGCCUCGUGUUAGCAAACCGUAAUAACCGCUGCCUCCUCCUGCUUCUCUUUCCACACCAGUAAAGCUAUGACCUCGGUGGUGACGCAAUUCCCCUGCGUCAGUAGUAUUAUUCUCUGCCCUAAUUUCCAUCAUCCCAAUCCCAAAUGCUUUGCAUUUUCCCGCCAAAUCAACGUCCAAGAAUCCAGCUUUAUAUUUCCUACUGCUACCUUCAGCUCAACAUUUCGCCGCAGCAGAACACAAUCGCUUUGCUUAAUCUCCUGUUCCGCUUCCAAUAAGCCUUCUCCCUCUCCUGAUUUCAGGUCUCUCUCUCUUACAUGUAUUUGUAUUUUAUAUGUAUGCAUUUGGUUACAAUGUUAAUACCUUCUAUUUCUAUUGUCAUAUGAAUUCAAGGUUUGCAUUAUUAUUGCAAUGAUGAAACAUUAAAUUGAAUCGUAAUGAAAUAAAUAAAAAAUUUACUCCCCUCAGUGUUAAAGUUCUAAAAUUAGACAGACAUUUGUAAAACUAGGACUUUUAAGGAAAAUUUUAUUUUUUCCAACUUAUCCACAACAUUAGUUAGCAAUUUAGUGGUGGUGCCAUGAUGGUACUCAAUCAACCACCAAUAAAAGUAAUAGUUUUGUCACUUUAUACUCUAAAAAUAGAAAUGUAUAUCUAAUUUUGGAAUAGACAAUAAAGAAUUAGAAAUUAUGUAUUAUUCUGGAUGCUAGUUUCCUUUCAAUGUGACUUGAAGGGUGUUCUGUAAAGUUAUUUAAUUUAAACAAGUUGAGUAGGAUUAAAACACUGGCAGAUAAUUUGCCCUUUACGAGAAUCAAGCUUUUGUUUGACUGAUAUGUUUAUUGAUUUAGCAAUCUCAUUUUGAUACAAGUUAAAUUCCAACUAUCAGAGGUUUAAACAUUGUUAAAAUUGAAUCCUGCAAAAGUAAAAUUCAUCGUCUUUUAAUGUGCUGAAAACCACUGCAUAUGUCUUUGUAGUUGAUGGUGUGUGGUGAUAGAUUAAAUAGACAACUCCUUUACACAACAAGGGAUCCUCAGUGUAAAGUAACUUAUUCAUAAGUAUCUUUCUUUAUGUCAUCAAGUUUUCAUUACUGUUGUAUACUCGUAGUUAUGCAAUUCACUACUGUUGUAUACUUGUAUUUAUGCGAUAACAUGAGGUGGUUGUAGUGUUUCCUUCCUGACUUCUGAUUUUGCCUUGUUUCUUGUUUGGUUUCAUGAAGAAAAUGGAUAUCAUUUAAGAUAUCAAAGUUAUAUUUCUUAUCUAAAGCUGUUUCCUUUAAGCAAAAAGCUUAGGCAAUCAGAUUAUGUUAAGUGCUACCUGUUAUCUGUAAUAUAUAGUAUUAUUUAAUAUAUAUAUAAAUAUAAUAAAACAAAACAUAAUUUUAUAUAUAUAACACAGAAAAUAUUAAUAAACAAAUCCGAGUCCUUUGAAUUCACAAAGUCUCCUUAAAGCAAAUUUAUUCCCUCACAGGUGCUAAGGAUUAAAUGAAUAAUUGCUUCCCAAGAUAAAACGGAUUUCCAGUUCUUAAUUAGAAGCACUUCAAAAUUAAGAACAUUUCGAACCAAAUUAUAUGUUAUGUACUAAACUUACAUGAAUAAUAAUAAUGAUGACGCAUGCAAAAAAUAAACUGAAAAGGAAGAAAAUUCUUACUUUUGUUUGUCUGUCAAAAAAGUAAAUUAGAAGCACUAUGUUGUCUGUCAAAAGUGUGCCUAUGUUGUCUGUCAAAAGUGCACACUACACUAUGUUGUUUUUUGUCUGUCAAAAUUUGGCAAAAAAACAGUGUAUAGAACGAGAAAAAAUAAGAACAGGAACAGGAAGGAGAAACAGGUCUAUAUCUUAAUGCGCGCCCAUAUUCGUUAAUUUAUAGAAUAAUUACAUGGUUUAUUACCGUUGGCUGGUGCGCAAACCGUUAGUAUUGAUAAUAAAUUUUGUUCAAAAACAAAUAUAUAUCAAGACUCGACCCGAACCCGGCCCGCCCACUUUGGAGUCAAUUUUCUCAUUCAAUUCUUAAUGGAUUUGAACACAUAAAUAUACCAAGUUAUACUCCUCAUGAAGGAGAACACAUUGGUGCAAAGACCCGACAUUUUCGGAAUGUGGGUCCCUCAUUUAAUUGAGCCUCAAAAUGCUCUAAUAUUUCAUAUUUCAAAUCCCAUUUCCAACAAUCCCCCACAUGAAUGUAAAAUUGGCUUUAUAUCAUGUAAAAAGAAAAUGUUAUGAAAAUGCAGACACUAGUUCGAGUACAUGAGAAAAGAUACUUCAUCGGGUUAAGUAGCCUAGUGGCUUUGAACUUGCCCUAGUAAAGUCUAUCGGAUUUAUUUGACUAAUCAGUAGACUUGAUGUCUUUGAACUGUCAGCUUUUCGUGUAAACCAAGACAAUAGAAUUCACAAAAUAUCUCUUCAAACAUAAUUGGUUCUCACGUUUGUGUUCAUUUUGGCCUUGAAACACCUCUUGGUUCCGUAAGUAUAUUAGAGAAUUCAGCCUUCAAAAUUCUCACAAAAGUGGCCCCCUUCUUACUCACGUAGGUGACUUCUAUCAAGAGUAUCCUGCAAUACUCCACUUGAACGUGUUUCAAGAUAUAAAAGUCAUUAAAAACGUAACUUAUCCUGAUUCUCACGGCAGAUGUGCACUGUCUCAUAAUAGGAAUGGUUAGGAGUAAUUAUCUCCUCAGUGCUUUACUGAGUACUACAUAGUUCGGUUUGCCCAUUGAACCUAGAUCUUGGGAUCUCCAGUCAGCUAGGUUGGGUUGCCACUAUGACGACUCUUAUUUAAACAGUAGGCUUUAAACCCAUUCCCUUCGAUGAUUUUUCCACUUGCUCUCUUGUUAAACCUUUCGUAAGCGGAUCCGCAAUAUUAUCUUUUGACUUUACAUAGUCAAUUGAGAUAAUUCCAUUUGAGAGCAAUUGUCUAACGGUAUUAUGUCUUCGUCGUAUAUGACGUGACUUACCGUUAUAUAAAUGACUCUGUGCUCUUCCAAUCGCUGAUUGGCUAUCACAGUGUAUACAUAUAGCUGGCACAGGUCUUGACCAAUUUGGAAUAUCCUCUAAGAAAUUACGAAGCCACUCUGCUUCUUCUCCAGCUUUGUCUAACGCAAUGAAUUCUGAUUCCAUUGUAGACCUUGCAAUACACGUUUGUUUUGAGGAU